rnacentral:pre_miRNA from 1 species
GAUCCAAAUUUAGGUUAGAGUAGAUUAGUAGGAUCAGCUGAUCCUAUUAAUCCACUCUAUUUAAAAUUUGGACCA